rnacentral:lncRNA from 1 species
CGUGAUUGGCUUACUGGGCAUCUAUGACUAGCACUAUCCUUACUACAAUUUUAUCUCUACAUUUGCUUUGAAUAUGAGGAACUUUGAAUUGUUCUAGCCUUGCAUUGAUAUAUCUCCUGUUUAGACAUAACGAUUUGAAUCUGUGAAACUUCGGAGAUUCUGACCUUUCUACCUUGUUAUGGUUAUAACUUUAUGUACUGACCUCUGAUUUGGACAAAACUUAUUUGAUCUGAAUAAAGACUCAUAAACCUUUCUUUCAA